rnacentral:rRNA from 1 species
CACGUAGGGCGCAAGCGUUGUCCGGAAUUAUUGGGCGUAAAGAGCUCGUAGGCGGUCUGUUGCGUCCGCUGUGAAAACUCGGGGCUUAACCCCGAGCCUGCAGUGGAUACGGGCAGACUAGAGGUAGGUAGGGGAGAAUGGAAUUCCUGGUGUAGCGGUGAAAUGCGCAGAUAUCAGGAGGAACACCUAUUGCGAAGGCAGCUCGCUGGGACGUUACUGACGCUGAGACGCGAAAGCGUGGGGAGCAAACAGG